UGAGGAAUAUUGGUCAAUGGGCGCGAGCCUGAACCAGCCAAGUAGCGUGAAGGAAGGCUGCCCUAUGGGUUGUAAACUUCUUUUAUACGGGAAUAAAGUCAGCCACGUGUGGUUGUUUGCAUGUACCGUAAGAAAAAGCAUCGGCUAAUUCCGUGCCAGCAGCCGCGGUAAUACGGAAGAUGCGAGCGUUAUCCGGAUUUAUUGGGUUUAAAGGGAGCGUAGGCGGAGAGACAAGUCAGUUGUGAAAGUUUGCGGCUCAACCGUAAAAUUGCAGUUGAAACUGUUUUUCUUGAGUGCACAUGAGGGUGUGGAAUUCGUAGUGUAGCGGU
rnacentral:rRNA from 1 species